CGAGGCGCGCGCACACGUGCACGCGGGGCGGGCGCUGCUCUUUUAUCUUCACCUGUUCACAGCUCUCCCUGCGCGCGCUCUGUCCUCUGCUAUUGCUGUAUAUCUGCGCGCGCGCGCGCGAGAGAGACAGACACUGUUCAGCUUUUACGCACAGAGCGCCGCGGAGCAGCCUCACAUGACACCGCCGCAGCUCAGCGCCGGCUGGCCGCCCUCAGCCGCUGCUCAAUGAAGGGAUUACCCGUUGACUCGCCUCAUCUCGCGGAUGGUUUUGCUCCCCUCAUCGGCCGCCCGUCUCUGCGAUUCCAUGUUCACCACGCCAGGACUGCGGACACUGAUCGUCUGUCAUGCCGAGGGCGCUGAUCUGAGGACAUUGCAGGAUUCGGUGGACGCGCAGCUGGCCGUCUGGAGAGGUCUUUACUUCCAGAUCGGAGCGAACACUGUGGGGCGCGAAGUCAUGUUGCCCACGGCACCGUGAGAACUUUACCUGUCACCUUUCUCCCCUCCUACGUUUUGGGUUUUAGAUGUUCAUCAGCGGGAUCGUGCUUCCUCGGGAAAUCCUCCACCGUUUCCCCCUACAAUUAUGUUCACUUUUGCUGCUUUUUGCUACAUGCUGUCGCUGGUCCUCUGUGUCUCCCUUAUCUUCUUCGCAAUAUGGCACAUAACAGCUUUUGAUGAGCUCCAGGCUGACUUUAAGGUGCCGAUCGAUCAAGGCAAUCCACUCCAUGCGAGGGAGAGACUGCGAAACAUUGAGAGGAUCUGCAACUUGCUAAGGAAGUUGGUGCUGCCAGAAUACUCCAUCCACGGGCUGUUCUGCAUAAUGUUCCUGUGUGCCCAGGAGUGGCUGACUGUGGGCCUUAACAUCCCCCUCCUCUUCUACAACACAUGGAGCAGGUACUUCCAUUCCCCAACGGACACCAAGGAGCUGAUCUACGACCCAGCAUCUGUGAUGAAUGGCGACACACUCAAGUUCUGCCAGAAGGAGGCGUGGUGCAAGCUGUCCUUCUUUGUCCUGUCCUUCUUCUACUAUCUCUACUGUGUGUGGAACCUGGAAAUAUCCCUCUAUUAGGUCUUAUCAGUGGAAACACUUAAAGAGACCAACGUUGGCAGGAGCAGCGACAGUCAGUAUGAUCUAUUCCUUGGUUACCUCAUAACCACCGCUUUCUUAGCAUCUUGGGACAACUACUGACGCUUACGGACGCAUUUGCGCUGGUGUAUUGGCAAUAGUAGAACAUAAAGAAGAUAACUUUUUUUGCUGUGGAGCCAAACAAUGAACUCUGCUGGAGCCGAAGCUUCUUUUCAGCUUCGCACAGCCCCAAAUAGAAGACAUGUUUUGUCUUCGACUGUAUAUAAAAAACUUUGGACUAAAUCUGCUGUUUACAGUUUGCUCAUAGCAAGACCCGAGUUAUACACUGCCUGGCCAACGUUUGUAACACACACACACACACACACACACACAUACAUAUAUAUAUAUAUAUAUAUAUAUAUAUAUAUAUAUAUAUAUAUAUAUAUAUAUAUAUAUAUAUAUAUUCUCCUCUGCUGCCAAGCUUGCUGCAUACCAGCGGCAGCAGUACCCCAGAGGACAUACAGCACAGUAGCGUUUGCACAGUUUGUCUCAGGCACAGCACAAUGAAGCACUGUCCAGACCAGCCCUCCUUCUCACCUCACCUACCGUAGCUUCUUCUGAGACCUCAGCGAAGGACAGAUGGACAAGCAAGCAAACGGAUCACACUGUUCGGAGAGGAGGAGCGAGCUCGGGCAGGCAGAAAGCACUGGAACAAAGAAUUUUUUUUGUGUUUUCCCGCUGAGAACACUUACAGUAUUGGGACUUUGGGAUUUUCUUUCUGACUUUACAUAAAUGGCUUUUGUGACGUGUGCAUUUUGGUGUAUUCUUUAAUCAAAAGGCAUUUCUGUUUUGUUAACGGCAAAGGUAUUCUACUCAGCAAAUGCCUCCUUAGUGUCGUCUUAGUGUUGUUCCGUUGUGGAAAGACUUUAACUAAAACUAAAAACCAGAAUCCUUGGGAAGCUUUUGUAGUAGAGCAGCACAUGUUCUUUGCACAAAUGGUUAACUUGCUCUUGCACAAUACUGGCAAUAUCUGCUUCAGACAGUAGAGAUCAUUUAUCAUAUUCUGGCUUCACAGGAGAAGGUCUUCCAACAUGUAAAGUAGCCAGCCUGGUCUGAACAGAGGGAAACAAUGUGAAUUUUUUUCUAGCUCUCUUGGACCAAAAUGUUGCAUUUGAUUAUUUAAACACAUGAAUUUAUGUCUAUUUAUGAUAUGCUGAUGGUUUCAACAUGUAAAAAAAAAAAAA